GAAUUUCUGUAGGAGUAAAAUUCCUGUAUCUUCAGUUGUGAGUAUAGUAACUGAACUUACUUUCCAAAGUAAGUUACUUGCAUCAGACCUGAAAUCAAUACUCCUCAAACUAUUCUGUCAAAUAGAAGAGGAAGAAUCUCUUAGAAAUCCCUUUUUACAAAACUGUAUUACCUUAAUACCCAGGCCAGACAAAGACUCUGCCCUCUCACCUCAACCCAAAGAAGAAUUCAUUGUAGGACAAUCUCCUAGAUGAACAUACAUGCAAAUUUUCUCAAUAAAAGAGUUUCAAACUGAUUCAAAAAAAUCAUCCAACCGUCCUAGAUGAUCACUCUAGCUUCAUCCUGGAGAGGCAGAGGUGUUUCAGCAUAUAAAUCUAUGAGUGCAGUUCACAAAGUACACGCAAGAACAGAAACCAAGCGAUUGUCUCAAUAGAUGCAAACAAGGCCUUGACAGAAUCCAGUAUGCUCUCAUGACAGAGGCCUGAAGAAUCAGACAGGGGACACAUCUCAGCUGAAGGCAUGGCAAUGUAGAAGCCCGCAGUUAGCAUGAUGCUAAUGAGGAUAUGCCCACUCUCUGCACUUGUCCAAUAGAAGGCCUGGAAGACUUAGAGUAAUAAGACAAUGGAAUGGGGUAAUGGGCUUACAGCCAGUGAAGGAAAACAUCACCGCGUCUUUAUUUGCAGGUGACAAGAUUCUAUACAGAAAACUCAUAAAGAUUCCACCAAAAACCACCUCCAGCUGAUAAAGUAUAAAGAGUAGCAAUAUGCAAAAUUAACAAAAAAAAAAAUCAGUCUCACUACGUACCAACAGCAAACAUAUUGAG
rnacentral:lncRNA from 1 species